UUGACAUCCAGAGAAUUUAGCAGAGAUGCUUAGUGCCUUCGGGAACUCUGAGACGGUGCUGCAUGGCUGUCGUCAGCUCGUGUUGUGAAAUGUUGGGUUAAGUCCCGCAACGAGCGCAACCCUUAUCCUUGUUGCCAGCACGUAAUGGUGGGAACUCAAAGGAGACUGCCGGUGAUAAACCGGAGGAAGGUGGGGAUGACGUCAAGUCAUCAUGGCCCUUACGAGUAGGGCUACACACGUGCUACAAUGGCGCAUACAAAGAGAAGCGACCUCGCGAGAGCAAGCGGACCUCAUAAAGUGCGUCGUAGUCCGGAUUGGAGUCUGCAACUCGACUCCAUGAAGUCGGAAUCGCUAGUAAUCGUAAAUCAGAAUGUUACGGUGAAUACGUUCCCGGGCCUUGUACACACCGCCCGUCACACCAUGGGAGUGGGUUGCAAAAGAAGUAGAUAGCUUAACCUUCGGGAGGGCGUUUACCACUUUGUGAUUCAUGACUGGGGUGAAGUCGUAACAAGGUAGGCGUAGUGCU
rnacentral:rRNA from 1 species